UGCUGAAAAGAAAGCUCUGGAUCAAGCGAGUGAGGAUAUAUGGGCUGACUUCAGACAAAAUGCCGAGGCUCACAGACAAGUUCGGAAAUAUGUCAUGGGCUUUAUCAAACCAGGCAUGACUAUGAUCGAGAUCUGGUAAUUAUUUAUUCUAUGCAUGCUAGGUGUCCAGGUCUGUCAUUAUUUUUGUGUGAGGGGAAAAAAGGUUAUUGCCUGCCCUGUUACGACUGUCCUUUAUUGAGUUAAACAUAAUGUAAUUGGCUGUUGGUGAAAAAUGUAUUUUAAAUUUUAUAACUACAUGAAGAUAAUCAACUUUUUAUGCAACUCCAGGUUAUAGGAUUCAUUAAUGUAUGUAUGUUUUACUCUAAAAGUUCAAAGCCCUGUUUUUGUUUGUCUGAUUCACCUGUUCUGAUUAAGGAACACCCUGACGACCAGUGACAUGCCAGGUUGUCAUAGUAACCCUAAUUCUAAAGUGGUAGUGAGUCUGCGUUUUAAUUUAUUUUCACCUGACACAUGGUAGACUUUAAAAAAAAAAUAUGUAUUGGCCUGUUCCAGGAAAGUCUGCCCACCUCUUCGUAGUCAACCCAUUAUUCAAAACAAGAUGUGACCAGCCUGUAUAGUUUUAGCCAUGCAUUCUGCUUGUACUUGAUUUCAGUGAAAAGCUUGAAGACUGUUCUCGUAAGCUGAUUAAAGAGAAUGGCCUGUAUGCCGGCCUUGCAUUCCCUGCAGGCUGCUCCCUUAAUAACUGUGCAGCUCAUUACACUCCUAACGCUGGGGACACUACAGUAUUACAAUAUGACGAUGUGUGCAAAAUUUAUUU